GACGAACGCUGGCGGCGUGCUUAACACAUGCAAGUCGAGCGGAGCGGCGAACGGGUGAGUAACGCGUGAGUAACUGCCCCCCUCUCUGGGAUAACAGUUGGAAACGGCUGCUAAUACCGGAUAGUGGGGGAUGACUCGCGACCGCUCAGAUUGUUGGUGGGGUAGUGGCCUACCAAGGCGACGACGGGUCGCCGGCCUGAGAGGGCGAACGGCCACCUUGGGAUGUGAUACGGCCCAAACUCCUACGGGAGGCAGCAGUGGGGAAUAUUGCACAAUGGGCGCAACCCUGAUGCAGCAACGCCGCGUGCGGGAGGACGGCCUUCGGGUUGUAAACCGCUUUCAGCCAUGACGCGGUAGUGGCAGAAGAAGCACCGGCUAACUACGUGCCAGCAGCCGCGGUAAUUC
rnacentral:rRNA from 1 species